AAAACCGGUCCCAGUUCGGAUUGUAGGCUGCAACUCGCCUACAUGAAGUCGGAGUUGCUAGUAAUCGCGGAUCAGAAUGCCGCGGUGAAUGCGUUCCCGGGUCUUGUACACACCGCCCGUCACACCAUGGAAGUUGGGGCGCCCGAAGUUGGUCGAGGAAUAGAUUACCUAAGGCGAAACCAAUGACUGGGGUGAAGUCGUAACAAGGUACC
rnacentral:rRNA from 1 species